AAGAUUUUAAGUUAAAUAAAACUAUUAUCCUUCAAAGUUAAAAUUAAAUUAAUUAAUUAUUUAAAUCUUA
rnacentral:tRNA from 1 species